CACCCUAGUACAAUUUUAAGUUGGGGCAACUACGGAGCAAAACAAAACCUCCACGAAUCGCGACUAGCAGUCGCACACAAGGCACACACGCCAACACCCACAAAAGUUUGACCCAGUAAAACUGACUUCCGAACCAAGCUACCCCAGGGAUAACAGCGCUAUCCCCUUCAAGAGUCCAUAUCGCCAAGGGGGCUUACGACCUCGAUGUUGGAUCAGGACACCCCGGCGGUGCAGCCGCUGCCAAAGGCUCGUUUGUUCAACGAAUAAUGUCCU
rnacentral:rRNA from 1 species